rnacentral:misc_RNA from 1 species
CGUGACAGGCUCAGGGGACAAGAAGGC